GGAAUGGGGUGGAGGGGUCUCACUGCUCUACUCUCGAUCUCUCCCCAAGUGCCGCCAGCAGUUGCUUCCGGAUGAUCCGCUUGCUGCCACAGCACUCGGAGACUUGGACUUUACCCAUCCCUCCGAUUUGUUUGAAACUAGCCUCUUGGAAAUCUGCAGUUCAGAAGGAGGCAGAAGCUCUGUUUUCAUCUCUGAACUUAGCCCGGUGUCUGGCACAUACUAACUGCACAGAAACCUCCAUUUUAGAGGAAUAUAAUAUCAACUGGACUCAGAAACUGGGAGCUGGAAUUAGUGGUCCAGUUAGAGUCUGUGUGAAGAAUUCUACCCAAGAACGGUUUGCACUGAAAAUUCUUUUUGAUCGUCCAAAAGCUAGAAAUGAGGUACGCCUGCACAUGAUGUGUGCCACACACCCAAAUAUAGUUCAAAUUAUUGAAGUGUUUGCUAACAGUGUACAGUUUCCUCAUGAGUCCAGCCCCAGGGCUCGACUCUUAAUUGUAAUGGAGAUGAUGGAAGGGGGAGAGCUAUUUCACAGAAUCAGCCAGCACCGGCACUUUACAGAGAAGCAAGCCAGCCAAGUAACAAAGCAGAUAGCUCUGGCUCUACAGCACUGUCACUUGUUAAACAUCGCGCACAGAGACCUCAAGCCUGAGAAUCUGCUCUUCAAGGAUAACUCUUUGGAUGCCCCAGUGAAGUUGUGUGAUUUUGGAUUUGCCAAAAUUGACCAAGGUGACUUGAUGACACCCCAGUUCACCCCUUAUUAUGUAGCACCUCAGGUACUAGAGGCACAGAGAAGGCAUCAAAAGGAGAAAUUUGGCAUCAUACCUACCUCACCAACACCCUACACUUACAACAAGAGCUGUGAUUUAUGGUCCUUAGGAGUGAUUAUCUACGUGAUGUUGUGUGGAUACCCUCCUUUUUACUCCAAACAUCACAGUCGGACUAUCCCAAAGGACAUGCGGAGAAAGAUCAUGACAGGCAGUUUUGAGUUCCCAGAGGAAGAGUGGAGCCAGAUCUCAGAGAUGGCCAAAGAUGUUGUGAGGAAGCUCUUGAAGGUCAAACCAGAGGAAAGACUCACCAUUGAGGGAGUGUUGGACCACCCCUGGCUAAACUCAACUGAGGCCCUGGAUAAUGUUCUACCCUCUGCUCAAGUGAUGAUGGAUAAGGCGGUGGUUGCAGGAAUCCAGCAGGCUCAUGCGGAACAGUUGGCCAACAUGCGAAUCCAGGAUCUGAAAGUCAGCCUCAAACCCUUGCACUCUGUGAACAACCCCAUUCUGAGGAAGAGGAAAUUACUUGGCACCAGGCCAAAGGAUGGUGUGUAUAUCCACGAUCGUGAGAAUGGAACCGAGGAUUCAAAUGUUGCCUUGGAAAAGCUCCGUGAUGUGAUUGCUCAAUGUAUUCUCCCCCAGGCUGGUAAAGGCGAGAAUGAAGAUGAAAAGCUGAAUGAAGUAAUGCAAGAGGCUUGGAAGUAUAACCGGGAAUGCAAACUCCUGAGAGAUACUCUGCAAAGCUUCAGCUGGAACGUUUCCUUGUUUGCUGUUGUACUGAACAUUGGAUUUUUACUGCAAGGUUAAUGGAACUGCUUAAUUGCUACUUGCAAAAUGGGGGGUCUAAACUGCUUUUGAUCGGUGUUGGGGACGGUUCCUCCAUUUGAAGGUGAAUUGGACACUGGUCGUGGAUUCACAGAUAAAGUAGAUCGACUAAAACUGGCAGAAAUUGUGAAGCAAGUGAUAGAGGAACAAACCACGUCCCAUGAAUCCCAAUAAUGACAGCUUCAGACUUUGUUUUUUUAUAAUCUGAAAAACUAUUCUUUAAUGUAUAAAGUAAUUUUUAUGUAAAUUAAUAAAUCAUUUCAUUUUCACAUUGCUUAAAGAUGCUGUAUAGAUUUAGAUAAUGGUAUUUACUAAUAGUAUAGUUCAUUUGUUUGUUUUUAAGAAAAGCUUAGCUCCUAGAAAUAUACAUUAUUUUAGGACUCCUUAGUCAUGUUUGUAAGAUGACAGAUAUUAUAUCAAGCAAGAUUGUUUUAUUUGUAAUAAAGUAUAUAAAAACUACUUGUCAGCGGUAGAUAAAGGACCAACUAUACUGAUCUUUCUGCUUAGUAAACAGUUAAAUCAAA